CGUAGGGAGCAAGCGUUGUUCGGAUUUACUGGGCGUAAAGGGCGCGUAGGCGGCAAAUCAAGUCAGCUGUGAAAUCUCCGAGCUUAACUCGGAACGGUCAGCUGAUACUGCUUUGCUAGAGUGCGGAAGGGGCAAUCGGAAUUCUUGGUGUAGCGGUGAAAUGCGUAGAUAUCAAGAGGAACAUCUGAGGUGAAGACGGGUUGCUGGGCCGACACUGACGCUGAGGCGCGAAAGCCAGGGGAGCAAACGGGAUUAGAUACCCCGGUAGUCCUGGCCUUAAACGAUGAAUACUUGGUGCCUGGAGUCUCUAUAGCUCCGGGUGCCGUCGCUAACGUUUUUAGUAUUCCGCCUGGGGAGUACGCACGCAAGUGUG
rnacentral:rRNA from 1 species